rnacentral:misc_RNA from 1 species
GAAAUCAUCACUGCUAGUUCAAGCGUGCUGUUUGAUAUAGAAUAGCUCUCAAGUUAUUCAAGAUUUGAAUGUUUAAUUGGGAAUUAAGGUUAGCACUUGCAGUGGACGCAAUUGGGUAUGACUAUGAAUAGGUUUUAGUAGGAUUUGGGAUUAACCUGAUGCUCAUAUAGUAAGUUUAAUAACAGCUUUAAUAUCUCCUAUAUAGAGAAUGCCACAAAUUGGUAUGCACAAGAAGAAAAUGAGCAAACAAGCUCACAGCAAUAUUUUUAGAAUUUUAAUUUCUCAAUAAUAUGCCAUUCCUCCAAAAAAAAAAAUCAUAAAAUAACUAUAAAAAACCUAAGGGAUAUCAAAUGUUAACCUUGAAAAAUCAAAUAAUUAAAGAAGCCAAAAUUU